CUGCUAUAAAGAAUCAACGAUUGUCAAAUUGUGCUUCUGUUAGUUACUUUGUUCUUGCUAGUUAAGCAAUUUUUACAGGACAAAUUAAACCACCUAUAUAGGUCAAGUGAAGCAGAACCUCAUAAUAGGAAACAAUAAAGGACUAAUGGUUUUCACCUGAAUCAUUUAUAUGCAGCACAUGGUUCCAACAAUAGUGGGCAGUGUGCAAAAUAUGCUCGAGAAGUGGAGUUAUCAUGAAGGAAAAGAAAUAGAUGUUCAUGAGGAAUUUAGAAUCCUAACAUCUGAUGUGCUUUCUAAAACUGCUUUCGGAAGCAGCUACGUGGAAGGACAAAAGAUCUUUGAGAAGCUGGGAAGGUUACUCUCUUUAGUAACUGCAAAUAAUCUUAGAGUGGAUCUCCCCAUCAUUGGGUAACCUUCAUUCUCUACUCUCUAGUCUCUAGCUCUACUUCAUUUAUUUUAGGUUCUGUCCAUAAAUUUUAUUUUCCAAAUAUUUGCAUAUCAUAAAUCUAUUUCCCGGUAAAUUGUUUUUCCGCCUAAAUCAAACAGAUCUUUAGGUAAUCAGGUCAUGCUGGAUCUAGCUAUAUAUAUGUAUAUAAUGUUGACAAGUUUCUUAUUAAUGACUGCAGAAAGUUGCUCAAUUACUAUACCAACAGCGAAGCAGAUGAACUUGAAAAAGAAAUAAGAGAAUCCUUUAUGCAGAUUAUACGAAAGAGAAUAGAGAAGAAAGAUAGUGGAGAACUAAAUUACUAUGGGUCUGAUUAUCUUGGACUACUUGUAGCUGCAAAUCAGGAAACUGACGAAGAAAAGAAAGUCACCAUAGAUACCCUGAUUGAUGAAUGCAAGACAGCCUACUUUGCUGGACAGGAUACAACUAUGGCGUUACUUUCGUGGGUUAUAUUUGUACUAGCAAUACAUACAGAUUGGCAGGAGAAAGCCAGGAAAGAGGUUUUUGAUUUAUUUGGUGAUAAACAUCCAACUACAUCUGAUAACAAUCUGGCAAAAAUGAAAAUAGUAAGUACAUCGACACUAUCUUCUUACAGUCCCUACACAUGCACUGUAAUAUAUUACAAUUUGUGAUGUUACUUUCAUUUCCCCUCUUUAUGCAGAUGACAAUGAUUGUAAACGAAACGUUUCGGUUAUAUCCUCCAGCUCUUACCUUACGCAGAUUAGUUCCUUGUGAAGUAAGACUGGGAAAGAUACUUCUUCCACCACAAUCACAUAUUGUAAUUCCUACACUAGUAGGUCAUACUGAUCCACAAAUAUGGGGAGAAGAUGUUCAUGUUUUCAGACCUGAUAGAUUUGCAGAAGGAGUCGCUAAGGCGGCUACAAACACAAAUGUUUUUCUGCCCUUUGGUAUGGGCCCUCGAAUUUGUGUGGCCCAGAACUUUGCAGGUACAGAAGCGAAACUUGCACUCUCCAUGAUCCUGCAACGCUAUUCUUUUAGCCUCUCGCCCUCUUAUGUGCAUUGUCCAAUUCAAAGUUUCAGCGUUUUUCCUCAACAGGGUAUUCCAAUUAUUAUUCACAAAUUGUAAGCAAAAAUUAAAUUAUGUCGUAAAAUCUACUCUGUGAGCGUCUUGCAUGCAGUGCACUUGAUUUGUCUAGCAAUUCUUAUCGAGAUGGGCGGGAUGUGAUUUCAUUUUUUUUGCACCUAGUUGUUUGGCUUUGUAUCUCUAUUUAUAGAGUAAGCAAAUAAGUUGUAAAAGCUAGUAUAAUAAUGUAUGAACUUCAGCAUGGAAUAAAUUGAAAAUUCUGUUUCUCUAGUAAUUAUAUAUGAGUUAAUACUUCCUUUAACAGAAUCUAAAGUAAACAGACAUUAAUUGGACUCUCGAGGGGUACUCGAUCUUAGCUGAUCAGAAGGCCAUAAUUUGUUUUACACAGUUCUGAAUAUAUAUGAACUCCAUUUACAGCACAGAAAUCUGCGGCAAAGUUUACUUUUUUGUGCAAGUGAUCAAAAGCCAUCUGAAGAAUUGUUUGAUCCCUAAACAAAUUCGAGGACAUCAUCGUUAGUUGCUUCUCCACCUUGUAGCUGGCUCUUGUGAUCCCUAAACAAAGCUCCCCAACUGGCCUUGCCUGGGUUUCCAGAGUGGCCCCAUCUGUGUUAAUAUUCAUGACAGCUUGUGGUGGGGGUAGCCAGUAAGACUCGAUCACCUUCAAGCUCCCACCAGGUUUGCAUUUCAGCCAAAGGUGUGUGUCUUUGUGAGGACUUUCUUGUCAUUUGUCAUAGAAAGUAUUAUAGUACAGAGUUUUCUGCAUACAGUGAAAGUGAUGUAGGACAUCUUACUUAACACCAAUUGGUUUCCUAUUUAAGUUCAUGUAUGUUUAUUUAGAAGUCAUUAUAACUUAUAAGUUUAAGAUUUGUAUUUUAUUUUCUUCUGUUUAGGAAUUUUUAGUUCUAGUUGAUUUAGGACAUUAAGAGCAUCUCCAUUGCACACCUAAAAUAAAUCAAAAACACUAACUUUGUGAUUUUUUUGUUAAAUACCCACCUUCAAUGCACACAUAAAGUUAGACAUGCACUCAUUUUUCACCAAGCUUUGAUUUAAAUUUAGUUCGAGCGUUGGCUUCCGAAAACUAAUUGACGCGAAACUGAUACUCUUACACGUGAUUGUUACUUUCACGCAAAAUUGAUAAUCCUGCGCCCAGUUGGUAAUUUCCCGCGAACUGUAAUUGAAUUCCAGACCAAAUUUUGGCCAGCCUAUAAAUACACCAUAAUACUUCUCUCAUUCACACCAAUUUACACUUUGUCUCAAAAUAAUUACCUUGAUAUGACGGCUCAAAGAUCACAAUCUCAAAAUGGAAGAAGUAAAAAAAAAUGAGAUAUUGAGUGGAGCAUCUCGGAAGAUAUGGCAUUGUGUAGAGCUUGGUAUCAAUUGGGGAAGAUGGACAUGUUCUAACUUCCAACUGAUCGAAAGAUAGACAUUUUUUGUGUUACUUCACAAGAAAAACACAAAACUUAGAAAUCCCCCCGAGAUUGCUCCUAUGUUUCCGAGCCUUCUAUGCUACAAAUCUCCAUGUUUUGAAUAUCUCAAAAUUUAAUAUCGCUAAAUAAAUUGGUAGAACCCACCUUAAUUGUAAGAUGUAAAAAAAUAAGAUUGUUAUUUUACGUGGAAUAUUGUUGGGUUUGGUUGUUUGAGUAGAUGCAGAACCAAAAUUACACCGUAAUUUCCAUAAUCAAACGAAAUGGUAACUACGUGUACCUUUGAUUCGUCUUUAGUUGGGUUUUACUGUAGCUAACUACAGGCCACUUUACAAAGUAGUAGAGAUAAGAGCAUUCCCAAUGCAAGGUGGAUUUUGGGGGUGGGGUGGAUAAAUCCACCUUGAAACCUAAAACAAUGUCCCAAGGGGAGGUGGAUUUUGAAAAGUGGUUGCCCACAGGUGGUAGAACCGGACGGCAUGUGACAUGCCGUCUGUUUUUUUUUUAGGUAUUACGUAGUGUUUUAAAAGUUUUGGACUCUCGGACGGCAUGUCACAUGCCGUCUCCCUAUUUUGUUGCAAAAAAAAAUGGGACGGCAUGUCACAUGCCGUCCGGUUUUUCUAAAAAUCCACUUUCUCUUAUACAAGAGUCUACCUUCCGUUGGGAACUCUCCACUUUGUAGAGUUUCACCUUGAAUCAACAAGGUGGAUUUUGCUUAGGUGGACCUACGUGGCGCCUACGUGGAGGUGGAUUUAUCCACCCUACAUUGGGAAUGCUCUAAGUUGUGGAGAUGAAUCAAUCCAACGUAUUGAGACAAAUAUAAUACCAUCUUGGCCACAUGGACUGACAAGAAAAAUAAAAGGCCGUCACUCUCAUGUUGUCUAAGCACUAAGCACCCCAACUAUUUAUUUAUAACAAGCGUUCCUUCAUUAUUGACAUCAAACAAAUGUUAUUUCAUAUCAUUAAUGACAUCAAUCCAAUGAAAUUGAGUCCUAGAUUUCUCACAUGUAUAAUGUAUUGAAUCCAUAAAUGCAUGCAAUGAUAUUCAUCCAUCUAAUGUGAUUACCACCAACUGACCAACUCAACAACAUCUGUUUUUAAUGAUUGUAUUUAGGUUUUAGUCCUUUUAGUAAUAGUUGAAUUAAUUUUUUAUUCAAUUUAGGAUACAUUUUAACUUACCAUUAACUUUCCCUCAUUUUAUUGUUUGAUAAUAUUUUUUUUUUUUUUUUUUAAAAAAUGAUUGCCAGUUUUGCAUUUAAAACAGAAUUUUCAACAAAACAUGUCAACCUCUGGAUUUUAUUGUAGCUAACUACAUGCCGCUUAUAAAGUAGUAAAGAGACCACAUGGAGUGAUAAGGCAAAUCAAAAGCCGUCACUCUCAUGCUAUCUAAGCAUUAAGCACCAUUUAUUUAUAUCACGCGUCCUCCAUUAUUGUUCAUAUCAUUAAUGACAUAAAUCCAAUGAAAUUGCGUCCUAAAUUUCACACAUGUAUGAAAUUCAUAAAUGCAUGCAAUAAUAUUCAUCCACCUAAAUUUACCACCUACUCAACAACAUCCGUUUUUAAUGACUUAUCUUAUGGGUAUUUAGGUUUUAGUCCUUUUAUUAAUAGUUAAAUUAACUUUUGGUUCAAUUUAAAUGGCUUAAUUUAGGAUAAAAUACUUGAAUCUUGAUCAAUUUAGGAUACAUUUUAACGUAAAAUUUUAAUUUUUGAUAAUUUCUUCAACAAACAUUUUAGAUGGUUCAUAUGUUUGGAUCUCUAGCUCUCAAAGGAAAAGGUUAAUAAUUCCGAUGCGUAAUACUUGUGUUAUGGCAGGGUAUGCAGGAGUUAAAAUGAGGAAGGUAAAAUGUUUUUUAGUGUCUGCUUGUUAAAAAAAUGUUUCUUGUGUCCAAUAUUGGUUUAUAUAAAGUGAAGGCGGUAAUUGAGAAACUAUUUAAGUGUCUUCUCAGUUGAACUUUUGUAAAUUUAGUUAUCUACCCAGAAAAUGGGUUGCUAAUGUGCGUAAGAUGGUGAACUUAAGAAAAAAUUAUUAAGGGUUUAGAUCGUCGAACAUGGUGAUAUUAGUUAGUUACAGUGAAACCUGUGUAAAUGCACGUCUUGGGACUAUAAAAAAAUUGUAAUUUAGCCUAUAAACAUUUUAAUUGAUAUUAUAUAAUGUAUUACAACAAAUUAAUAUAUAUAGCAUAGCAAAUAAAUAAAUAUUUUACCUUAAUCUCGAUGUAGUCGGUAUAUUAAUUUGUUUAGGUAAUGUAUAUAAAUUCUAAUUUAUGAAAUUACAUAUUAAAUUUAACUCUCCCUUUUAUUAAUGUAACGGACAUUUACUUUAACAAAUAUAGUAAAUAAUUGUAUUUUAUUUUUUUAUCAUUGUAUAAUUAUAGAAGGAAAAAUAUACAGAUGGGACAAAAAAGUAAGUGAGUUAAUAAAAUACACACAUACAUAUUUACAGAAAGGAAAUCUUCAAAAUACGCUAUCCCAACUAUGGGACCAAUAUUUUUUGUGCGAUUAUAGAGGGUGCAUUUACAUAGGUUUCACUCUAGAUAUUUUUGAGACUACUCUACAAACUUACUGUUUGAUUAAAAUAUAAAUGGAGUAUGGUUUUGAAAAAAAAAAAAAAAAAAAAAAACCUAAAACAAAAAGAAUAUCCUUUUAGGCUUUCCAGGAUUUAAUCAAAAGAAAAGACAAGUUUUUGUAGGCAAGUUUUUGUCGAAGAAAAAUCACACCAGAAUCACUUUAUUAGGAAAAAACCCCACAUUGAUUAACCUCAUAGGAACCAGAGCUACAAUUUAUUUUAAUCAGUGAACCUCAGCUACAUUAUUUAUUUUUUUUAUUUUUAUGUUUUUUUUCUGUUCGAGAAGAAAAUGCCAUCAAAGUUGUGUUAAUAGGUGAUCCCCAUAUAUGGCAGAGAGCUCCAAGAAAAAAGAACGUUAGAGCAGGACCUGAGGGGUUCCACUGCUCCAAAAAAACACUUCAAAACUUCAGAGCUAAAACACUUGGAAAAUUGAAACCGCACACUCCAAAUAAAAAAAAAAAAAAAAAAAAAAGCAGGAAGGGAACCCCUAAAAGAAAUAGUUAAUUUGAUCAUGACAUCUCAGCUCACCUCUGCUGGGGUCAUUCACAAAAACCAUACCUUUCACUAAGAAAAAUUAAAUUAAGACCCCAAGACACAGUAGAAAACUAGAAAUUAUAGUUCUUGUCCAACAAGUAUCAAACCAAUAUCAGAAGUUGGGGAUUUUUAAGUUCGAAUAUUUUUACCAAAGAAAAAAAUGCUAGCGUAUAAAAUGUAACUGAAUAAUUGUCACUGGCAAGACUGUUAAGACGUCGUGUGUAUAGGUACAAGUGUAUAACACUGCACUAGUUUCAUAAUUUCGAGACAGAAACUACCACAUUUAGUAAAUAUUCUUAAUGCUAUCUCUGUGAGAAGUUUAAGGGAAAACCAGAAGGUGCACAACAAUCAAAAUUUACUUGAAGCAGAAAGAAACUAUCUUCUACGCUUCAUUUCCUUCCGCUGCUCUGCAAUGUAAUUCUCCAUGUUUGAAUUCUUCCAUAAACGUCUAAGGACAAGAUCCUCUUUCAUAGACUCAUCUGAAAGAACCAACAACACUGUGCAUGAUGUGUCUUAUAGAGAUUGGAGAGAAAAUAGCUACAAGAUGACAUCAUAAAUAUAUGGAGUGUUUAAUUCAUUAUUUGGCACUCAAAUGAUAGGUCUUCUAUGAGGGUAAAUUUCCAGGUAUGAAAGUGCUUAAUCUAUCCCACAAUUUAUAUAUGUUGUUUUUCUUUUGGGUGCAGCAUGGGUGGACCAGUUAUGCAGCCAUGUGGGAACCAUGCAUCUUGCUUCAUAAUAGCUCAACACCACUCCUUGCUCAGUUCUUUUCAGAAUGAUAGCACUGAUAGGGCAUGAACCAUUACUAACUAAUAUAUGAACAUGUGGAUAGCAAUGUUCAAACAAUCCAACGAUUAUUUUGACUCUAUAUCUGAUAGAUAUAAGAUCAUCAUUUUGGGAAACGUCCACGGUUGCCUUGGUGACAACAAAUAAUCCACUAGAUGAAAGAGAUUUACAAACCUACCAACUACCUGCACUCACUGCGAGCUGAUACUUCAGGUUAUCUCUAACACCUUGACUUCACCAGAGCACCUUGAUGUACGCACAAGACACUCGACUUCUUGAUGAACACACAAGAAGACUCGAAGCCGAACUAUGAAACAAACUUACACCAGAGUUCCUUGAUGAACACACAAGGAUACCCGACUUCUUGAUGAACACACAAGAAGACUCGAAGCUAAAUCAAUAUAAACAAUAAUGAAGAAGAAGAUGAAUGGGGAAGAAGAAGAUGAGUUCAAUCACCAAAACAACCUAAAUCAAAACCUAAACAAACUCAAAGACUAGAGAUGAAUUGGACGACCAAAGAACUACCUUGUUCUUUGGAAGAGAAACCCUAUUUAUACUUAGGGUUGGAAAGCACAGAAAAUGGGCCGAAAUAGAAGAAAUCCACAUUGGACGUACGUACGUCGAAACAACGUUCGUACGUCUCCAUACGAUAAAAACUUGCUGACUGCUUGGACGUACGAACGUCCUAACUAGGUACGUACGUCCAGAACAACAAAAUAUACCUGCUGACUGACCUGACGUACGUACGCCCUAACUCAGUACGUACGUUCAACAUGAUGGAAAGUUUGCUGAUUUGAGGGACGUACGUACGUCCUAACUUGGUACAUACGUCCUGAACCAAAAAACACACGACACACUAGACGCGAAGACAAGGAGUCGGGAUGACGCGCGUACAACAAGGUUUUCCUAACAAUGAAAUCAAGGCGAGAUAACCAAGGACGACCAAUGUCACAAAAUUGAUGUCAAACAAACUUAGUGCCGGUUUCAAUCUCCCCCUUUGACAUUGAUUUUGUGACAAAAACCUAUGACUCUAAUAGCACUUAUAAAACGUGCUUACAAACCCAAACCCUGGCAUUUAUAAAACAUGCCUACAAAAACACUCAAGGUAGAACACAUACCAAAUCACCAAUUUUUGACAUCCAGCUUGAGCAAGAACCUUCCAUCAUCAGAGACCGAACGGAAGCGACUAAAAAUUUAGAACAACUCCCCCAUACUUCAUGAGCUCCAACUUUAGUUACUUGAGCUCCCCCAUAACUGUACAACCUCUAAACAUCAACACGUUCACUCCCCCAUACGUGUAGCAUACCUGAAACAUGACCCCAAAAAUAUCCUAACAACAAAGAGACGAUUGUUAGUAAUUAGAAUCAUAAAUCUCCCCCUUUUUGUCACAACAAGUGAACAAGAGAAACGAUUAACAGGAGAAACGAUAAGCAGGAAACAAAAAUAACCAAGAAAAGAAACCAACUCCAAACAAUCAAGACAAAACAGAUAGAAAGAUAAAACCUAUCCCAACGCGUAAAGUUUCAUGAAAACAACUAACAACCAAACACAGGAAUCCAUAAUCAUAAGAAACAGUAAAAACAGAAAAACAAUACUCAAUUUAACGAAUUCGAAAAAUUCGUUCCCAAUGACCUAGAGGAAGCUUUGAGAAAUAAGCCUCUGCACGUGCCGAAGAUCGAGUCCAACUAGCUAUCACAUGAUCAUCAUAAUCCUCCAGCCAUUCACCAGUACAAAAUAACUCCUCGAUUCUGUUGUCCAAGCCACAAUCGGUGAGAGGAGAAGCAAGUCCUGAAACUUUCGGGUAUCCAACCAACUCCAAGAUGUGAUUUUGAAGAUGUCCCGGCAAUCUCUCCCAAUGAUUGACAUGAACCAUGCAUGGAUUAAGAAAGGGUGGAUGAAUAUAGUCAUACCCAUGGGGAACAUGACAUAAGCGACAAACUUUCGAAUUGUUUUUGUAUUCCAUCACCAUAAACGACACAUAACCAACAGUCGGAACAAAUACCCCAUGAAGUUCAUAUUCUGCCAUUGAAAAUUCUGAAGAACAAAGACAGAACUAGAAGAAGGUAAGAAGACACAAAAUAGGUAUAAGAAGAGAAGUCAUCUAUAUAUAUAGAAAAACAAACAUUAACCCAACAUGGGCCCAAAAAGGAUAGGUCUAUUACAAAAAGAUAGUGUUAAACCGAAUAGACCACAGACGCACUACAAAGCUCCCCAAAAAUCGAUGGACUCGUACCCAAUAAAAAAACAGGCAAUAUGUUGAGGGAUCCAGACCACAUGCUCAAAAGGAAUGAGAGAGCACAUAAGCAACACACCAUACGUAUCACCAACCCCAAGGGAGAAGGUUUUUUUUUUUUUUUUUUUUAAUAUAUGAAAUAAGCGCCAUUCUCGUGUGGGAGUUUAAUACACUCCAUCUUUUACCAAAACACGAGGGUAGGGUGUAGCCUACAUCUUUUCGGCAAAACACACUCAAGAAGUGCAAUACCAUGGUAACGUGCAACACAAGAACUAACAUCUCUUGAGUGCAUCCGUCAGAGCAUGACCCUCACAGCCCCAACGGGUUCCUAGCCAACUGAUAAUGCGCUCAAGACAUUCAAAUGGUUGGGGAUUUCGUGAGUGAUUGACCACUUACAGGAGGUGACAAGAUGAGAAAAAUCCACACGAUAGAGAAGGGGUAUACCAAUAACAAAGUCUAACAUGUAAACCACCACGCAUUAUGCAACGUAAGCCAGGAGAGUGACCAUGAAAGAUCCCAAUGACCUUAUUUGAGCAGAAAGACUAAGAACCCCAACAUAUUGCACAUUAUUUAAGGACGACACCCAAAAACGAUAAUCAGAAAAAAAUGCCCUCAACCGAAUAUGGAGAACCAACACAGACCAUUACGACAAAACAACUUUACCAGAUAUAUACAGAAAAAGAGAGAAAUAAUAUACAAGGAAGAAGAGAGAGAGAGAAGAGGAGACUACCAGUAACAUUUAGGGAAGAGGAACAACCCCAAUGGACUUGCGCAGAGAAUGAAAGCGGGCUGCAUCAAGAGGUUUCGUAAGAAUGUCCGCGAGCUGAUGUUCAGUAGGAAUAAAUUCCAUUGCUAUAUCACCCUUCUCAACCGCCUCACGAAGGAAAUGAUGACGAAUGUCGAUAUGCUUUGUUCGUGAGUGUUGAACAUGAUUUUUGGAUAUGCUAAUGGUGCUGGUGUUGUCACAGAACAAGUCCAUCGCCUUCUGUUGGAUGCCAUAGUCCCGAAGCAUCUGACGCAUCCACAGGAGUUGUGUACAUGCACUAGCUGCAGCUAUAUACUCAGCCUCACACGUGGAGAUGGAUACGGAUGAUUGUUUUUUACUAUGCCAGGAAACAAGAUUAUUCCCAACAUAGAAACAGCCACCACUGGUACUAUGACGAUCAUCAAGAUUACCACCCCAGUCAGCAUCACAAUAACCUGCCACAACACUAUUUGUAUCUCUGGUAAACCAUAAUCCAUGAUCAAGCGUGCUACCAACAUACCGAAUGAUACGUUUAACAGCAGUGAGAUGAGAUUCCUUAGGAUUAGCCUGAAACCUUGCACACACUCCAACACUAUAAGCAAUAUCUGGACGACUAGCAGUGAGAUACAAAAGACUACCAAUCAUACUACGAUAUUCACGAAUAUCAACAGACUUACCCAUAACAUCCUUACCAAGACGUACCCUAUCACCCAUGGGAGUAUCUUGACCACUAGAAGCACUGAAACCAAACUUUUUGACAAGUUCUUUGGCAUACUUUGUUUGAGAGAUGAACGCUCCAUGAUUAAACUGCUUCACCUGCAAGCCAAGGAAAAAUUUUAGUUCCCCCAUUAAACUCAUUUCAAAUUCAGAACUCAUUAACCGAGAAAAAGAUUCAGAAAGAGAGGGACAAGUGGAUCCAAACACUAUAUCAUCCACAUAGACUUGUGCGAGAAGAACAUCGUUUUCCUUUCUCAGGAUGAAAAGGGUUCGAUCAACACUACCACGAACAAAUCCUUUCCCUAAUAAGAAGGUUGUCAGGCGUUCAUACCAUGCUCGAGGAGCCUGUUUUAAACCAUACAAUGCUUUUUGCAGUUUGAAGACAUGAUUCGGAAAGGUGUGAUCAACAAACCCCUUUGGUUGUUCAACAUAGACCUCCUCAUUGAGAAGACCGUUGAGGAACGCACUUUUGACAUCCAUUUGGUACAACUUGAAAUUCAAAUGGCAUGCCAUAGCAAGAAGAAGCCUGACAGAUUCCAACCUAGCCACAGGAGCAAAGGUCUCUCCGUAAUCAACACCUUCAAUCUGACUGUAGCCCUGAGCUACGAGCCGUGCCUUGUUUCGCACAAUCUGCCCAAACUCAUCCAAUUUAUUUUUAAAGAUCCACUUGGUGCCAACCACAUUAGUGUGAGUAGGUCUGGGAACUAAUGUCCAAACAUCACUACGCUUAAACUGACCGAGUUCUUCAUGCAUAGCAACUAACCAAUCAUCAUCAGUAAGAGCAUCAGUAACGUGUUUAGGUUCAAAAGAGGAAAGAUAACAAACAUAGUGAACACAGUUUGUCUCCUUGGCCUUUCGACGAGUCAGACGCUGGUCAUUAAUAUCCCCAAUGACAUCCCCUAUGGAGUGAUGUUGUUUAACACGGGUUGAUGCUUUAACAAACAACUCCUCAGGCUCAGCAGGCCCAGUGGAGGGAUCUGGAGACACAUCAACCGCCCCUGGCGGUGGUGAUACAACAUCAUCCAGUGUGGGCACAACACUGGUCCUACCAGGCAAGUCCUCUGGAGUAACCGAAGAAUUAUUAUCAUCAGCACUAUUAUCAGGUAACGAGAAUGACGUUGGAGACAUGUCAACAGAGUCUGACAAGGGUGAGAGAACUGUAAAAUCCUGUGUACCAGUAGAAACAGAAGAGUCAGAUACAAUAGUGUCAUCAACAACAACAUUAAAAGAUUCCAUGACCUUGCGAGUGUUGUAGUUAAAUACUCGAAAGGCCCUGCUAUUUGAGGAAUAACCAAGUAAAAGAGCAACAUCACCUCGACUAUCAAACUUAGACAGACUUUGUCUGUCCUUGCACACAUAGCAAACACUGCCAAAAACUCGCAUAUAUUUGAGAUUUGGCUUCUUACCAUACCAUAGCUCAUAAGCAGUUUGUGUAGUACCAGAUCUCAGAUAUACACGGUUCAUGAUGUAACAAGCAGUAUGGACUGCUUCCGCCCAGAAAUUGGUAGGAACAUUCUUCGCAUGUAACAUUGCACGAGCCAUCUCCUGAAUAACACGGUUCUUCCUUUCAGCGACACCGUUUUGUUGCGGAGUGUAUGGAGCCGAAAAUUCUUGCCACGUACCAUUUGCAAUGCAAUACUCAAUAACACCUGUGUUUGUGAAUUCACCGCCCCUGUCACUUCGAACAUGUUUGAUUUGAGUAUCUUUCUCAUUCUGAACACGAAGACAUAUCCCCUGAAACUUAAGAAACGCAUCAGAUUUUUCACGCAAGAAUGAUACCCAAGUAAAGCGAGUGUAAUCAUCAACCAUAACUAAGAUGUAUCGUUUGCCCCCUAAGCUAGGAGUACGAGUAGGACCCAUCAGAUCCAUGUGAAUGAGUUCUAAAGGAGAGGAUGUGGUUAUAGACUUUUUCUUGGAAUGUGGACUCCGUAUCUGUUUACCUAGUUGACACCCCCCACACACAGUUUCACGAUUCCUUCCAAGUCUAGGAACUCCCUUAAUAUAUUCAUUUCGAGUUAGAUUGUCUAGGAGUUCAAAGUUGACAUGACCUAGCCGUUGAUGCCACAACAGACCCUCAUUCAGUUUGCUAGGUAAGCAGUUUAUACCAGGUGCAACAGGCUGAAUAGCAUAGCAAUUAUCCAAUGUGCGUUUACCUGUCAUGACACACUUACCCAAACUAUCAAGAACAGUACAUAUAUUUUUAGAAAAAUUAACAGUAUGAUCAGUAUCGCACAGUUGGCUAAUACUGAUCAAAUUAACACGCAACCCAUCAACUAAUAAACAAACAUCAUUCGAGGAUAGACAAAUACCAGUAACAAAACCUUUACCAAUGACAGGAGCGCGCUUACCAUUACCAAAAGUGACACUUCCACCAUCUAUAGCAGUAACGGAGGAGAAAAGUUUGGCAUUACCUGACAUAUGUUUCGAAGCACCACUAUCAAGUAGCCAUUCACUAUCCGAGCUCGAAACAUGAAGAGCAGUAAUUGCCACAUUUGAAACAUUGCCUGCAAGGUUACAAGGAGCAGAGUAAGAUGCGUAUGGAUAAGAUGGAUAGACAUACGAUGGCUGUGAGAACAGCGGCCAUGGUUGUGGAACAGGAGCGGCCACGACACACUGCGAUGCCCAAUGUCCAAACUGCCCACAUAAUGAGCAAGUCAUUUGACGUUUUCUUCCCUGAAGAGGAGCACGCCUAAACGGUUUCCAGUUACGCCCGAUGCCUACCGUGGCCACAGAUUGAUGAUUGUUAGACUUUUUGGUAGGAGGAUUUGGCAAUAGCGGAGGUAGUUCAGAAGAUGACAGCCCAUUGCAAUUUUCAAAAGACUUAAGGCGAACCAGUUCCUUUUUGACAUCCUCGAGUUCAGUAGACAAAAUACUACACCGGACUUCCCAUUCAACAUUGUCGUGCUCAAGAACAGUAAGAUUGCUCAAUAAGUUCACCUUAUCAAUCCGCCAAGAUUCAGUUUUCCUAUCCAAGGUUGACAUGGGCGAAGAACUAGAAGAGAGUAAGUCAAGUCUGUCUUGAAGAAUACUAUUUUGUGCCUCUAACCGUAGACAUUCCUUUCUGGAUAAUCGGUACAGGGUAGCCCAAUCAUCAUUGUCAACAAGAAUCAAUUCCCUGUCACAGUCACUAGAGCAUUCUUUACUAGCAGUUGAUUGUUCAUCAGACAAUCGAGCCACAACCGAGACAUGUGUCUUACCAGAGUAAAUCAUAGCACUAGAAGGAUCUACGCGUGAGCCAUUAUGCUCCAUAACAAGUGCCCUGCGACUGAUACCAAUUGAAGAACACAGAUAGUGCUAAUCUCACAGUUUAAUAUUCAAAACAAAACAAACGAUAACUAGAAAGUGAAUAACACGCAGGAAUUUUUAACGUGGUAAAACCCAAUUUGGGAAACGUCCACGGUUGCCUUGGUGACAACAAAUAAUCCAAUAGAUGAAAGAGAUUUACAAACCUACCAACUACCUGCACUCACUGCGAGCUGAUACUUCAGGUUAUCUCUAACACCUUGACUUCACCAGAGCACCUUGAUGUACGCACAAGACACUCGACUUCUUGAUGAACACACAAGAAGACUCGAAGCCGAACUAUGAAAUAAACUUACACCAGAGUUUCUUGAUGAACACACAAGGAUACUUGACUUCUUGAUGAACACACAAGAAGACUCGAAGCUAAAUCAAUAUAAACAAUAAUGAAGAAGAAGAUGAAUGUGGAAGAAGAAGAUGAGUUCAAUCACCAAAACAACCUAAAUCAAAACCUAAACAAACUCAAAGACUAGAGAUGAAUUGGACGGCCAAAGAACUACCUUGUUCUUUGGAAGAGAAACCCUAUUUAUACUUAGGGUUGGAAAGCACAGAAAAUGGGCCGAAAUAGAAGAAAUCCACAUUGGACGUACGUACGUCGAAACAACGUUCGUACGUCUCCAUAUAAUAAAAACUUGCUGACUGCUUGGACGUACGAACGUCCUAACUAGGUACGUACGUCCAGAACAACAAAAUAUACCUGCUGACUGACCUGACGUACGUACGCCCUAACUCAGUACGUACGUUCAACAUGAUGGAAAGUUUGCUGACCUGAGGGACGUACGUACGUCCUAACUUGGUACGUACGUCCUGAACCAAAAAACACACGACACACUAGACGCAAAGACAAGGAGUCGGGAUGACGCACGUACAACAAGGUUUUCCUAACAAUGAAAUCAAGGCGAGAUAACCAAGGACGACCAAUGUCACAAAAUUGAUGUCAAACAAACUUAGUGCCGGUUUCAGUUCUUGGUUUAUAACACCACCAAAUCCGGUUAUUAUUGGCAAGCAGGGUUGAGGGGACCCCUACUCUUUUUAAAUUACUUGUGGAAACUUCUAUCAACAAUCAGGGAACCCACGACCUCUCCACUUUGUGAGAGGGGUGCUACCAUUGAGCCACAAGCUCAUUCGUAAUUUGUGGAGUUAUUACAUUAUAGGUUAUAUUUGGUAUUAAUUGGUACAUUAAAUGAAAAUGACUUAAAUAAUGUUAAUCCUACGACUACGAUUGUCUUAAUAGACAACUAAAGGUUAGGAUUGUUUUUUCACAUCUAAGGGCUAUUAUUACAUCGAUUGUAUAAUUUAAUGUACAUCUAAUGAUUGUGGUUGUCUCACUAGACAUCUAACGGCUGUGUUUAUGAGACCGCUUAGUAAUAUUAUAUAGAUAUGGCAUUAUGGCUGUAAGUUAUCGUGUGUGAUUCGUGUAUAAUGAAUUUUAUAUGUUGUGAUUCUUUGGUGUGGGAUUUGUGGAUCAAUAAGUUACUAUUACGCAUGGUGUUGUUAACCCUAGUAAUUUUAUAGACACGUGAAAAUUUUCAUUAAUCUCACAAACCCACGCCAAAAAUUCACAACAUGUAUGGCUAUUUUGACCAAAAAAAAGUUGAUGCUUUUCGUACUACCAAUAAUGCAAACAAAAACACAUUGAAAAAAAAAAUAUAUUCUAAGAUUUAGUCCACAUAAAACGUGUUUGCUAAUAAUAAAUGCUAAACAUGUGGUUCUUCCUUGAUGACAUAAAUAUAGGGUCCCCUCAACCUGCUUGCUAAUAAUAAAUGCUAAACACAUUUUUUUGCAAUAAAAUCCCAAAAGUACGCUUAUAUUCUAUCUAUAAAAAGAGAGACUUGUUAGCAGAAUAUACAAGCAUCAAUUCGAGUUUGAGUGUAUUGUAGAGAUGUUGAGUGUAGUAGCAUACAUAGCCAUCUUGAUUCCAAGUUUUUUGUUGAUUCAGUUCUUCUACAAAGCAUGGUGGAAACCAAUUCGAAUACAAAAGCGAAUGAGGGCACAAGGAAUUAAAGGACCUUCUUACAAUUUUCUUCAUGGAAAUACUAAAGAAGUUCAAGACAUGAAAAUCGAAGCCACGAAGACUACGUUGCCCACAUUGUCGAAUGAAAUCCUUCCAAGAGUUCAGCCUCACAUAUAUUUAUGGACAAAAUUAUACGGUAUGUUGAGUGUAGUAGUAGAUCACUAUGUCAAUUUUUUUCUUCUAUAUAUGUACACAUUUUCAGAUCAUAUAUGAUGACUGACUAAUAAAUGCAGGAAGGAAUUUUCUAAGCUGGCAUGGAGAUAGAGCUGAACUGCAUGUUACUGAACCUGAUCUUAUUAAGGAAGUUCUACUUAAUAAGAAUGGAGUAUAUAAAAAGUCAGUUGGAGAAAAAUACAUGCACAAGGUGAUGGGAGAUGGACUUGGAAUCGCCGAAGGCAAAAAGUGGAUGACACAACGUAAAUUGGCAAAUCAUGCAUUCCAGAUUGAGAAGUUGAAAGUAUGUCUUCUGCUAUAAAGAAUCAACGAUUGUCAAAUUGUGCUUCUGUUAGUUACUUUGUUCUUGCUAGUUAAGCAAUUUUUACAGGACAAAUUAAACCACCUAUAUAGGUCAAGUGAAGCAGAACCUCAUAAUAGGAAACAAUAAAGGACUAAUGGUUUUCACCUGAAUCAUUUAUAUGCAGCACAUGGUUCCAACAAUA
rnacentral:lncRNA from 1 species